rnacentral:rRNA from 1 species
UAGGGAAUAUUGGACAAUGGGGGCAACCCUGAUCCAGCAAUGCCGCGUGAGUGAAGAAGGCCCUCGGGUUGUAAAGCUCUUUUGUCCGGAAAGAAAACCAUUCGGUGAAUACCCGGAUGGUCUGACGGUACCGGAAGAAUAAGCACCGGCUAACUUCGUGCCAGCAGCCGCGGUAAUACGAAGGGUGCAAGCGUUACUCGGAAUUACUGGGCGUAAAGCGUGCGUAGGUGGUUGUUUAAGUCAGAUGUGAAAGCCCUGGGCUCAACCUGGGAAUGGCAUUGGAAACUGUGCAGCUAGAGUGCGGUAGAGGGGAGUGGAAUUCCCGGUGUAGCAGUGAAAUGCGUAGAUAUCGGGAGGAACAUCUGUGGCGAAGGCGACUGCCUGGACCAGCACUGACACUGAGGCACGAAAGCGUGGGGAGCAAACA